rnacentral:rRNA from 1 species
GACGAACGCUGGCGGCGUGCCUAACACAUGCAAGUCGAACGGGGUAGAGAGCUUCGGUUUUCUACUUAGUGGCGAACGGGUGAGUAACGCGUGAGAAACCUGCCUUUCAGUGGGGGACAACAGUUGGAAACGACUGCUAAUACCGCAUAAUGUUAUUUGGGGGCAUCCCUGAAUAACCAAAGAUUUAUGUGCUGAGAGAUGGUCUCGCGUCUGAUUAGCUAGAUGGCGGGGUAACGGCCCACCAUGGCGACGAUCAGUAGCCGGUCUGAGAGGAUGAACGGCCACAUUGGGACUGAGAUACGGCCCAGACUCCUACGGGAGGCAGCAGUGGGGAAUAUUGGGCAAUGGGGGAAACCCUGACCCAGCAACGCCGCGUGAAGGAAGAAGGCCUUCGGGUUGGUAAACUUCUUUUACCUAGGGACGAAGAACGUGACGGUACCUGGAGAAAAAGCAACGGCUAACUACGUG